GGGAGGAAACACUCUGACCCCACAUAUGUCUCUCUCUAUUGGCCCAUCUAACCAGAAGCCAGAGGAUUUGUGCACCAUUGAUGCAACCCAUACAGGACAUCCUGCAAAGCAGAAGGCAGAACAGCACACAGUGAAAAGACAAGAAGGCACAAUUCCAUUGGGGGAGAAGACCGUGUCAAAAGGCAUUCACCAAGUAGACCCAUUCAGUGGUUGAGUAACAUGGCUGAGUAAAUGUAAAAAAUGAACACACGCAAAGCACAGUUACACCUCCAACUAUCCAGCAUGCAGAAAAGUUUUGCUCACUGUAAAAGAAGAGUUAAUGUAGCAAGAGGACCGAUGAAAAAACUCAUGGCUCUGAACUUGCCCCUUUCUCGCACCUUCCAGGAAAAAACGGGCACUCUUUAGCAACCAACAUGUUACAGAGAUACUGCUAUCCUCCUACCUUCAGUCAAUAGGAUGCCAGCUAUAGACCUACAAGCCCCAAAAAAGCAGACAGACCCCUCAGUCCCAUUAAGCCAUCAUUGCCAAAGCCCUGCCACUUGGUGCCACCUAUGUGGUGUUGUUUGAAGGACAAAGGGUCUUCUCUAUGCUAAUCCACCAUUUCAGAUGCUCUCAUAGGGUAAGCAUUUUCUCCUCUAGGCUCUUUCAUUAAAGAGAAAUUCCCUGGAAAGGGAGCAGGCAUUCACAAUGUGAAGGAACCACCAGCAGCAAUAUUGUUAUUUUGCCCUAACAUUUGCAUAGUGAAUGUGUUCCUGUGAGUUUGUCCCCAGACUGAAGGAGUAAUUGUGCACAAAUGUGGCAGGGAUUAGUGAAUGAGGACAUCCACAGGGAAGAAAAAAAUCAAAAGAAGGGAAAUAUAGGAGCUCUGAAAUCAAGCUUCUCACAUUUCAUAAUCUCACCAAAAUUAGUUGAUGCUGCUAGGGUUUCUCUCUACCUAAUGGGAACUGAUUAAAUCUGGUUUGUCAUCUAUUUUUUAUGUUUUUGAUAAUAAGUGAAAUUGGGAUUACCUGGGACUAGUGUCACAACCCUUGUUUACUGGGUUUCAGAAGA